rnacentral:rRNA from 1 species
UGAGGAAUAUUGGUUAAUGUGCGAAAGCGCGAACCAGCAACGCCGCGUGUGCGAUGAAGGCCUUCGGGUCGUAAAGCACUUUUUGCAGGGAAGAGGAAGGACGGUACCUGCAGAAUAAGUCUCGGCUAACUACGUGCCAGCAGCCGCGGUAAAACGUAGGAGACGAGCGUUAUCCGGAUUUACUGGGCGUAAAGGGCGCGCAGGCGGGAUAAAAAGUCAGUGGUGAAAUCCUACAGCUUAACUGUAGAACUGCCUUUGAUACUUUUAUUCUUGAGUUCGGGAGAGAGAGACGGAAUUCCAGGUGUAGUGGUGAAAUACGUAGAUAUCUGGAAGAACACCAGUUGCGAAGGCGGUCUCUUGGUCCGACACUGACGCUGAGGCGCGAAAGCGUGGGGAGCAAACA